rnacentral:tRNA from 1 species
GCAGAUGUAGUUUAAUCUCAAAACAUUAGACUGUGACUCUAAAAAAGGGGGUUAAACUCCCCUCUCCUGCC